GAUGAACGCUGGCGGCGUGCCUAAUACAUGCAAGUCGAGCGAACAGACGAGGAGCUUGCUCCUCUGACGUUAGCGGCGGACGGGUGAGUAACACGUGGAUAACCUACUUAUAAGACUGGGAUAACUUCGGGAAACCGGAUCUAAUACCGGAUAAUAUAUUGAACCGCAUGGUUCAAUAGUGAAAGACGGUUUUGCUGUCACUUAUAGAUGGAUCCGCGCUGCAUUAGCUAGUUGUUAAGUUAACGGCUUACCACGGCAACGAUGCGUAGCCGACCUGAGAGGGUGAUAGGCCACACUGGAACUGGGACACGGUCCAGACUCCUACGGGAGGCAGCAGUAGGGAAUCUUCCGCAAUGGGCGAAAGCCUGACGGAGCAAGGCCGCGUGAGUGAUGAAGGUCUUCGGAUCGUAAAACUCUGUUAUUAGGGAAGAACAAAUGUGUAAGUAACUAUGCACGUCUUGACGGUACCUAAUCAGAAAGCCACGGCUAACUACGUG
rnacentral:rRNA from 1 species